GGAACAAUAUGGUAUCAGAGACCCAUGUCCUCAUAUUUUUGCUGCUAUGGGUGUCUGGUGCUUGUGGGGAAAUUGUGUUGACCCAGUCUAUACCAUCCCUGACUGUGUCAGCAGGAGAGAGGGUCACUAUCAGCUGCAAAUCCAGUCAGAAUCUUUUAUGGAGUGGAAACCAAAGGUACUGUUUGGUCUGGCACCAGUGGAAACCAGGGCAAACUCCUACACCGUUGAUCACCUGGACAUCUGAUAGGUACUUUGGGGUCCCUGAUCGUUUCAUAGGCAGUGGAUCUGUGACAGAUUUCACUCUGACCAUCAGCAGUGUGCAGGCUGAAGAUGUGGCAGUUUAUUUCUGUCAGCAGCAUUUACACAUUCCUCCCACAGUGCUUCAGCCUCCUACACAAACCUCCUUGAGAGUCUCACCAGCUGCCUGCAUCACACACAGCCCUGGCCUGCACACUUCCCCCUUCUCCCUGCGAGUUGAUGUGCUUGAAAAAACAGACAAAAAAUUGCUGAGCCCAGCAAAAAAAUAA